GGAUUCAACAGAAGAAGAAGCACAGUUCACCCGUGUGUGUGGCGUCCACUUUAUAUCCGGAGAAGCGGCAAAGCUUUAUGAUAAAACAAACCCAGAUUGGGCGCCAACACAAAAAUGAGGACACGAAAAGAUCAGGACGAAUGCUCAUCUCGCAGCAUCAAGAAGCAGCAGGACGAAGGAAAGAUCUGCCAAGAAAGCAAAAUCCGAAGCAGCCCAAGCCUCAGUGUCUUUGAAUACACUAGAUCUAGAAUGUGUAUCAACUUCGCCAGAUGUUUACAAUAUAUGUAUAUAAAGUCCCUAAGUUUAAAAGCAUGUGCUGAUUAAUAUAUUUAAUGAAAUUGUUAUUUUAGUUUUACUAAUACAUGUUUACUUUUUGUUGAACAGAUGUACCAGAUUCAAACAAUGAAAUUGUCACAGAUGAAAAGCUCCCAGAGACCAGAGAUCGUGAAUGCCCAACAGAUCUCACGUGGUUACAAAUAUCUGCAAUGGAGCAGUGCAAUCCAAACAUGACUUUCCAAUUGGUGGAACUGAAGAAUAAAUGAUUGGACGCAGAUUUAACUGAAGCCAGUUUUCAGAUUAAUGAAGAGAAAACUAAAUUGUACACUGGACGUGCACAUUUCAUGAUACUACAGCAAGUAAUGUCAAUAUGUGGUGGAUUAGUUUAUUCAGGCACGCUCAACUCUCUAACAAAGUUUCAAGAACUCCUCUUCGUACUCAUGCACCUACGCCUUAACAUGCCCUUUGAAGAUUUGAGUUAUAGAUUUUGAAUAUCUAGGUCUACAGCAUGCCGAGUAUUUGACAAAUGGUUCGAUGUGUUGAGUGUCAGAUUGGACUUUUUAAUGUUGUGGCCCGAUGGAGAAAACCUACAAAAAAACGUGCCAGCUGUCUUCAAACAGAAUUUUGGGAGCCGUGUAUCAGUCAUUAUUGAUUGUGUUGAAGUCUUUACCAACAGGCCAUCAAGUCUCAUAGCUAGAGCAGUUACAUGGUCAAACUAUAAGCACCAUAACACUGUAACGUUUCUUAUCGGUGUUACCCCACAAGGUGGAACUUCAUUCAUUUCUAAAGCCUGGGGAGGGCGGGUUAGUGACAAACACUUAACUGAUAAUUGUGGGACAUUAGAGAAGUUACCUCCAGGGGAUAUAGUGUUAGCUGACAGGGGGGUUUGACAUUGCUGACAGUGUUGGUCUUUAUGGAGCAUCCCUGAACAUCCUGCAUUUACACGUGGAAACAGCCAGUUGUCAGCAAUAGAAGUUGAACAAACAAGAAAGAUAGCGACUGUAAGAAUACAUGUGCAGCGUGUAAUUGGUUUAGUUAGGCGCAGGUAUGUCAUUUUGCAAAGUAUCUUACUGAUAGACACUAUUACUGCUAAGCCUGGACAAUCUUUGUCACCUAUUGAUAAGAUUGCUAAAGUUUGUUGUGCAUUGUGUAAUUUAUCUCCAUCAAUUGUUCCUUUGCAAUAAUAUUGAUACGAGUCGUUUGUGACAUACUAGCAACAUUUUGUAUUUUUCAUAUUUAAAAGAUGUUUUGUCAGAAUGUUAGUAUACUUUCAUUGAAGUAUUAUUAUUGACACUGUCAUUGAAAUAAUUAAAAGAAAUGACACAUA